rnacentral:rRNA from 1 species
AAGGUAGCAUAAUAAAUUGACUUUUAAUUGAAGCCUUGAAUGAAAGGAUAAAUGAAUAAUUACUAUAUUAUAUUAAUUUAUUAUAAUUUAUUUAAAAGGUGAAAAUCCCUUUAUUUAAUAUAAUAGACGAGAAGACCCUAGGAGUUUAUAAAAUUUAUUUUGUUGGGGCAACAUUAUAGCAUUUAAUCUAUAAAUAUAAAUUAAUAAAACGAAAAUUUUUAAUAAUAAUUAAACUACCCUAGGGAUAACAGCAUAAAGUUUGUGACCUCGAUGUUGGACUAGGGAAUUUAAAGUUAACAGCGUUAAAUGAUAGUUCUGUUCGAACUUACUUACCU